rnacentral:rRNA from 1 species
CAGUAGCCGCGGUAAUACGGAGGAUCCAAGCGUUAUCCGGAAUCAUUGGGUUUAAAGGGUCCGUAGGCGGUCUUGUAAGUCAGUGGUGAAAGCCCAUCGCUCAACGGUGGAACGGCCAUUGAUACUGCAGGACUUGAAUUAUUGGGAAGUAACUAGAAUAUGUAGUGUAGCGGUGAAAUGCUUAGAGAUUACAUGGAAUACCAAUUGCGAAGGCAGGUUACUACCAAUUGAUUGACGCUGAUGGACGAAAGCGUGGGUAGCGAACAGGAUUAGAGACCCGAGUAGUCCCUGUCUCUUACAC